rnacentral:lncRNA from 1 species
GGAAAUCGAAAUGGCUACGGAAAAGCUGCGAAAGAUGAUUAACAUGCUGGAAGCAAAAGGCAAAGUUUACGGAAUUUGUAGGGUUUGACGCCCACGGUCCUUUUCGUUUGAGGCCCGAAGUCUCGUCCGGGCGACACUCGCGAUGUACGAAGUUUGGUGAAGCCUUGCCAUAAGACCUACUUAGGAAGAUCCUAUUCGAACACCAAAACUGCGAAAAAAAUAUAUUGAUGUCUAUUAUUAUAACGAAGUUUUGUGAAGCCUUGCCAUAAGACUUACUUAGGAAGAUCCAAUUCUAACACCAAAACUGCGAAAAAUAUAUUGAUGUCUCUUAUUAUAAAACUUAAAAGUUUCACACCAAAACUGCAAAUUAUUAUAAAACUUAAAAGUUUCACACCAAAACUGCAAAAAAUAUAUUGAUGUCUCUUAUUAUAAAACUUGAAGCCUUGCCAUAAGACCUACUUAGGAAGAUCCUAUUCGAACACCAAAACUGCGAAAAAUAUAUUGA